GCCGAAAGAGCUCAGCUGGGAGAGCGUCAGACUGAAGAUCUAAUGCUCCCUGGUUCGAUCCCUGGUUUCAGCA
rfam:Ornithorhynchus anatinus chromosome 18, whole genome shotgun sequence.